UUAUUGGAGAGUUUGAUCCUGGCUCAGGACGAACGCUGGCGGCGUGCCUAAUACAUGCAAGUCGAGCGGACAGAGAUGAGAGCUUGCUCUUAUCAAAGUUAGCGGCGGACGGGUGAGUAACACGUGGGCAACCUGCCUGUAAGACUGGGAUAACUUCGGGAAACCGAAGCUAAUACCGGAUAACUGUAGAGUGUGCAUACACUUUAUAUAAAAGAUGCUACGGCAUCACUUACAGAUGGGCCCGCGUCGCAUUAGCUAGUUGGUGAGGUAACGGCUCACCAAGGCAACGAUGCGUAGCCGACCUGAGAGGGUGAUCGGCCACACUGGAACUGAGACACGGUCCAGACUCCUACGGGAGGCAGCAGUAGGGAAUCUUCCGCAAUGGGCGAAAGCCUGACGGAGCAACGCCGCGUGAGCGAAGAAGGUCUUCGGAUUGUAAAGCUCUGUCUUUAAGGAA
rnacentral:ncRNA from 1 species